rnacentral:tRNA from 1 species
AGUUAAUUAAUUAAGACAAAAUUAUGUUUUGAAAGCAUAUAUAAGAGGUUAAAUUCCUCUAUUAACUU